GCAGCAGCAUCAUGGCCACGAAUGGCUUGAGUUGUGAGAGCGCAACCAUCCAAAGCGUUUUACAUCCAAAAAAAGAGUCCACAAGAGAAAAGAGAUAAUAAAUACAACAGGUAUUUCAUUAAUUUUCGAGCAACUCCAUAUGUCAGACCUUCAUUGAAGCCACUCCCACAACAAUUCACCAAUAAAUACUGUGAAUAUUCCCAUCAUCCUACAAGAGAAGAAGUGCUUCAGACCAGCAGGAAGAACUCCAGGUGUAACAACUGAAAUGUGACAUAUAUAUAUAUAUAUAUUAUGGAAAAAAUGGAGUUUGUUAAAGAGGAAAGUGAGGACAUGAGUGAUGAAGAAUCAUGCAGAAUGAAACAUGAAGAUACUGAGAAACAAAGAGGCCUGAUGGAAGAAGUGAAAAGGGGAAAUCAAGAGCUGAAUGAAGUGGAGGAGAAACAUCAGUAUGAAGAAAAAUCCAACAGUUGCUCACAGACUGAAAACAAUUCCUUUAAAAAAAGAACUCGACGACCAGCAGCUGAAAACUCAUUGACCUGCCCUCAGUGUGGAAAGAUUUUCAAACGUAGAGAACACUUUAAUAAUCACAUGAGAAUUCACACUGGAGAGAAGCCGUUCAC